CAAAAAAUAAACCCUAGGUUUCCGUGUCCAACGUUUGACUGUUUGUCUUAUAUAAUUUUUUUUAUAAUUAGUAUUUUCAUUGUUGUUAGAUGAUAAAACAUGAUUAAUACUUUAUGCAUGUCUUAUCUUUUUAAUUUUUUUUAAAUAAGACGGAGGGUCAAACGUUGGACACGAAAACCCAGGGUUUGUCUUUUU
rfam:Oryza sativa Japonica Group DNA, chromosome 1, cultivar: Nipponbare, complete sequence.